GACUAGCGCCUAGCGCGUUCCCGACUAGCGCCUAGCGCGUUCCCGAACAGGGGUAAUAUCUAUAUAUAUUAACAAAGAACACAUAUAUGGAAAAAGCAGUAUCACUAAGGGAUAUCUACCUUGGAAGGCCACCAAAUACUAAUGGUCCAUCAAGAGAAAAAGAUUCAGUAGAGUAAACUGAGACAUAUCGAAGAGAAACCCAAAGCUGAAAGGAGUAAA
rnacentral:lncRNA from 1 species